rnacentral:rRNA from 1 species
UAACCUGCCCAAGAGACUGGGAUAACACCUGGAAACAGAUGCUAAUACCGGAUAACAACACUAGACGCAUGUCUAGAGUUUAAAAGAUGGUUCUGCUAUCACUCUUGGAUGGACCUGCGGUGCAUUAGCUAGUUGGUAAGGCAACGGCUUACCAAGGCAAUGAUGCAUAGCCGAGUUGAGAGACUGAUCGGCCACAUUGGGACUGAGACACGGCCAAACUCCUACGGGAGGCAGCAGUC